rnacentral:rRNA from 1 species
GGCGAACGCUGGCGGCGUGCUUAGCACAUGCAAGUCGAACGGUAAGGCCCUUCGGGGUACACGAGUGGCGAACGGGUGAGUAACACGUGGGUGAUCUGCCCUGCACUUCGGGAUAAGCCUGGGAAACUGGGUCUAAUACCGGAUAGGACCACUGCCUGCAUGGGUGGUGGUGGAAAGCUUUUGCGGUGUGGGAUGGGCCCGCGGCCUAUCAGCUUGUUGGUGGGGUGAUGGCCUACCAAGGCGACGACGGGUAGCCGGCCAGAGAGGGUGACCGGCCACACUGGGACUGAGAUACGGCCCAGACUCCUACGGGAGGCAGCAGUGGGGAAUAUUGCACAAUGGGCGCAAGCCUGAUGCAGCGACGCCGCGUGAGGGAUGACGGCCUUCGGGUUGUAAACCUCUUUCAGCACCGACGAAGCGCAAGUGACGGUAGGUGCAGAAGAAGGACCGGCCAACUACGUGCCAGCCGCCGCCGUAA